UCAUACUAUAAUGAUCCAAGGACAAUGCCUUGUACAUUCUUUCAGCCCUGUAGAGUCCAACUCUUUUCAUGACAUGAGGGUCUUGUGGCCGUCGUCUUCCUUCCUAUACAAAAUUCUGGUGUUGUUAUGUUUGUUUGGUAAGCUUUGCAGCCACUUGUGUUUACAUUUUGUCCAAAACUCAUGAUGACCUGAUGGUGUACCUGGAACGUUCAGUUUUAAGGAUCAAAAGACCAUCACGGCAUACUGAUAAGCAUACUGUAGCAGUUCAGGCGUGGAGUCUGAAGGUAUAGUGCAUAUCCGUGCUGAAUCAGUGAAUUUGUGCAGCGUUUUACAGUUGAGGGCAAUCCUGGAAUUGCAAAAAGCUCAACGAGGCAUGAUUGUAUUUUCGCUCCCCAACCAUUUUCUGAGCACCACUUUGUGCUAUCUGUACUCCGAGUUCUAUGAUUUUUUUUUAUCUUCCCAUUACCGUCCAAUACAAAGUAGUGAAAAUUUGGUCUGAUCAAGUGAACAGUGAAUGAGGAUGUCGAUUAUGCUGGGUAUCUACUUGGUGCCCAACUGUUUACAUGCGGUACUUGAGUAACCAGCUCUGAUCGUUCUUUUAUCUACUUCAGUCAGACAGGCAUGUACUGUUGGUAGCUAAUCUCAACUAUGAUGUUGCUUGGUUUUGCAGAUCAAUCUCCUCGGAAGCAACCAAAUGAGUUGGGGAAAGGUGUGGUUGACUGAGGCAGUCUUGUAAUACUGCAACAGCCACACAAGCAUGGCACUGUUCGGUGGAUGAGGUUUUAACUGUUCCUCGGAUGCAGUGUACCUAAGAUGGUCAUCUUAGAUGGAUUUUGGUACACAUUCAUUAUUAUAUGCACGCUACACGAUGAUAUAACAUGGAAAUGAAAGGUACCUGCCCGGAAUAAAACUGAAUUCAAAUGGCUGGUUGAAUUUUGCUGGUGUGGGUAAUUGGAGAAGGUUUUGUACUCACGGUUCUCGCCGAGAACUGCAACUCCAGCAGAACGUUUAUUCAUGCGAGAAUUGGAGUGCUGCCAAGAACUGUGAUCAGUUGAAUUGCAAGUCUGCGGAAUAGAAAUGCUUGCUGGAGCCUUUCCUAGGCUAGGCUAGCAGAAGCGUGAACGAUACAUAUCUUGCUGAAGAAAUGCUUGCUGGAGCCUUUACUUGCAUAUCUAACCGAAGAAACCGACACCCAGCGGUUAUCUUCAUCAAAUCUAACAGCAACUUACCGCUUUCCCCGGAGUUACACGACACACUGCCACACCCUUCAUCGCGCAUCCAACAGCUCUGAAGACUAGGGCUGUCGCUAUUUUGGAUUAUGACCUUUACUGUCUCCUUGUUCACCAGCUUUACUUUAGCGUUGAAGUUACCUUUCACUGGUUGUAAUGGGUAGAAAUGCCCGGAUCUACUGUAUAUGAGAGCCCUGGAGCUCAUCUUCCUGUUACUUGGGGUAAACCCCUAGCCGCCGUGCCCUGGGUGGCGUAAACGUGCAUCCUUAA